rnacentral:rRNA from 1 species
GGUCGAUGUCUAGUAUAAGCAAUUAUACCGUGAAACUGCGAAUGGCUCAUUAAAUCAGUUAUCGUUUAUUUGAUAGUACCUUACCACUUGGAUAACCGUGGUAAUUCUAGAGCUAAUACAUGCUAAAAACCUCGACUUCGGAAGGGGUGUGUUUAUUAGAUAAAAAACCAAUGCCCUUCGGGGCUCUUUGGUGAUUCAUGAUAACCUAACGGAUCGCAUGGCCUUGCGCUGGCGACGGUUCAUUCAAAUUUCUGCCCUAUCAACUUUCGAUGGUAAGGUAUUGGCUUACCAUGGUUUCAACGGGUAACGGGGAAUUAGGGUUCGAUUCCGGAGAGGGAGCCUGAGAAACGGCUACCACAUCCAAGGAAGGCAGCAGGCGCGCAAAUUACCCAAUCCCGACACGGGGAGGUAGUGACAAUAAAUACUGAUACAGGGCUCUUUUGGGUCUUGUAAUUGGAAUGAGUACAAUUUAAACCCCUUAACGAGGAACAAUUGGAGGGCAAGUCUGGUGCCAGCAGCCGCGGUAAUUCCAGCUCCAAUAGCGUAUAUUAAAGUUGUUGCAGUUAAAAAGCUCGUAGUUGAAACUUGGGUCUGGCUAGCGGGUCCGCCUCACCGCGUGCACUUGUCCGGCUGGACCUUUCCUUCUGGAGAACCUCAUGCCCUUCACUGGGUGUGUUGGGGAACCAGGACUUUUACUUUGAAAAAAUUAGAGUGUUCAAAGCAGGCCUUUGCUCGAAUACGUUAGCAUGGAAUAAUAGAAUAGGACGUGCGGUCCUAUUUUGUUGGUUUCUAGGAUCGCCGUAAUGAUUAAUAGGGAUAGUCGGGGGCAUCAGUAUUCAAUUGUCAGAGGUGAAAUUCUUGGAUUUAUUGAAGACUAACUACUGCGAAAGCAUUUGCCAAGGAUGUUUUCAUUAAUCAGUGAACGAAAGUUGGGGGAUCGAAGACGAUCAGAUACCGUCGUAGUCUCAACCGUAAACUAUGCCGACUAGGGAUCGGGCGAUGUUUCUAUCUUGACUCGCUCGGCACCUUACGAGAAAUCAAAGUUUUUGGGUUCUGGGGGAGUAUGCAAGGCUUU